ACUCUCUCUCCCUCUUCAUCUCUCUCUCUCUCCUUCAUCUCUUUCUUUUUCUCCACCUCUUUCUCAAUUACCCCCCUCUCUCUCUCUUUUAGGCAACCAUGUUUUUAUGGCAGGAGUCAACCAAAUAAAAGCAGCCCCACCAAUCUGUGGGGGAGAAAAGCCGCUGGUUCAAUGAAGUGAUCUAUUCAACUCAGUGUUUCUCUCUCUUGCUCUCUUCAUUAAUUCCAUACUGUCCUGCCUUUUCAUCCUUUCUGUCUUUUGUUUUCUGUCUCUCUUACUUUUUAUUCCCCUCCUUCUUUCUCUGGCUGGCUGAGCUCUGACAAGGGGAUAGAAUCAAGAGUUUGGGAGAGGAGAGGGACAUUUGGGAGCGAGAUGGCGAGUGGGACGGUGGCGUUGUUCCUGUAUGGAUUCCUGCUCCUGUCUCUGUGGAAACCUUCACUGCAAGGAGGUGUAUACAUACCUGCUGGUGUAGGUGAAGCUGGGGCUGGAUUAGGAGCUGGAGCAGGAGUCAGAGCUGGAUUUGGUCCAGGUGGAGCUGGCACCAGUUUUGGGCCUGGUGGUGUAGGCACUGGAUAUGGGCCAGGUGGCGGAGCCGGAGUUGGACCAGGAGGUGUAGGUGGAGCUGGGGCUGGUCCAGGAGGUGCAGGCUUUGGCCCUGGAGCCGGUGGAGGUUACACCAAGCCAGGGAAGACGGGAGCUGGCUAUGGUGGUCAGGUUGUAGGCCAAGGCCAAGGCCAAGGAGGACUGGGGACUGGAGGUCUGGGGGAAGGAAGAGUUAGACCAGAAGGAGCUGGGGCCGGACCAGGAGGUUAUGGACAUGGCGGUGGUUUAGGAGCUGGAGGCCUUGGAGCAGGAGCUGGCAAUGGAGGUUGGGGUCCUGGAGGACAGGGGGCUGGACUAGGAGCUGGAGGUCUGGGAGGAGGAGGUCUUAGACCAGGAGCCAGACCAGGAGGUUAUGGACCAGGUGGUUAUGGGCCUGGUGCUGAUCUUAGUCUGGGCGGAGCUGUAGCUGGAGGUCUUGGUGGUGGUUACGGACUUGGCGGGGGUCUAGGUGCCGGAGGCCUUGGAGCAGGAGCUGGAGGAAAGCCAGAGAAGGCAGGAGCUGGCUACGGUGGUAGAGAUCCAGGAGGACAGGGGGCUGGACUGGGUGUUGGAGGUUUUGGACCAGGUGGCUAUGGACCAGGUGGAGCUGGUGCUGGACCAGGUGGCUAUGGGCUUGGUGUUGGUCUUGGUCCUGGGGGAGCUGGUCCUGGAGUUUUUGGUGGUGGUUAUGGACCCGAUGGAACAGGAGCUGGCUAUGUAGGUCGCAGUCCUGGGGGACAGGGGGCUGGAUUAGGAGCUGGAGGCUAUGGACCAGGUGGAGCUGGACCAGGAGGAUAUGGGCCUGGUUCUGGUGUUGGCCAGGGUGGAGCUGGUCCAGGUGGUUUUGGUGGUGGUCUUGGAGCUGGCGGACAAGGAGAUGCCCUUGGAGCUGGGUAUGGAGGUCUCGGAGCUGGGGGACUGGGAUCCAGAGGUACAGGUCAGGGGGCUGGAGGACUUGGAGCAGGCCAAGGUCUUGGAGCCGGCCAAGGAGAUGGAUACAGACCUGGAGGAGGCUACGGUGGUGCUGCUGGUGGUCUGUACCCUGGAGCUGGAGGGGCGGGGGCAGGCCAGAAACCUCCCAAAACAGGAGCAGGAAGCACACUAGGAGGAGAUGGAUAUGGACCUGGUGGUGCUGGUGGAUAUUGGCCUGGUGGCGCAGGUGGACAUGGGCCUGGUGGCGCAGGUGGACAUGGGCCUGGUGGCGUAGGUGGACAUGGGCCUGGUGGCGUAGGUGGACAUGGGCCUGGUGGCGCAGGAACUGGGCCUGGUGGCGCAGGAACUGGGCCUGGUGGCGCAGGAACUGGGCCUGGUGGCGCAGGAACGGGACCUGGUGGCACAGGUGGAUAUGGUCCUGGUGGCGCAGGAACUGGGCCUAGUGGCACAGGUGGAGUUGGCCUUGGUGGUUUUGGGCCUGGUGGCGCAGCAGUACCAGCUGGAGCACCAGUACUUCCACAGACUGGAGUCCCUGGGGGUGGAGCUAGAGAGAAGAGCGGUUGGAAGGCCAACAAACAAGUGCCAGGUGUUGGAGUACCUGGACUUUAUCAAGGUGGAAUAGUGCCUAGUCAAGGUUUCGGAGGGCGUGGGGUUCUACCAGGUGUUGCCACUGGAUCCGGACUUGCUCCCCAGACAGGGGCAGGUGUGCUGGGCCAGGGUGGAGUUGGAGCUGGCACUGGAGCUGGAGGUGGCCGAGGCAGUUUAAAUGGAGUGUUCCGUGGAUAUCCCCUCAUAUCACCUAAAUCUGGAGGGGCUGGAGGCAAAUCAGCUAAUUCCCAGGCCAAGCUUGCUGCUAAAUAUGCUGGAGCUGGAGGUGUACUUCGUCAAGGGGGCAUGUCGGGAGCAGGAGGAGUACCUAGCGGUGUACCUGGAGCAGGUGGGGUCCCUGGUUAUGGAGUUGGAGCUGGAGGUGUACUUCGUCAAGGGGGCAUGGCCGGAGCAGGAGGUGUACCUAGCGGCGUACCUGGAGCAGAUGGGGUCCCUGGUUAUGGAGUUGGAGCUGGUGGUGUACCUGGUUACGGAGGUGGAGCAGGAGGCAUACCUGGAUUCGGAGGCGUAGCCAGAGCAGGAGGCGUACCUGGUUACGGGGGCGGAGCCGGACCAGGAGGCGUACCUGGGGCAGGGGGCGUCCCUGGCUCAGGUGGGUAUGGAUACCCAGGGGGUUACCCAGGUGGAGGGCGGUACCCAGGGGCUGGCCUAGGUGUAGGAGGUGCCUACCCCGGAGGAGCUGGAUCUAAGGCAGCCAAAUAUGGUCAGGGUGGAGCAGGCACUGGAGCUGGUGGUGGGCUCAGCCAGGGAGUGCCUGCAUCUGGGAUUGGAACCGGAAGACUGCCUGGUGGGGCUGGAGGGGAACCAGGAGGCGGUUACAGGCCUGGCGGUAGCUUCGGUCCUGGAGGUGGAGUUGGACCAGGUGGGGCCAGUUAUGGACCAGGUGGGGCCGGCUAUGGACCAGGUGGAGCUGGACCUGGUGGCUAUGGACCAGGUAGUGCUGGAAGUUAUGGAACAGGUGGAGGGGUUGGACCAGGUGGUGCCGGGGAAGGACAUGGUGGAGCUGGCUAUGGACCAGGUGGAGGAGUUGGUGGAGUGCCUGGUGGUGGACACAGACCCGGAGGUGGUUUACCUGGUAGUGGUGCUGGUUACGGACCUGGUGCUGGUGUUGGAGGAUAUGAUGCAAAUGCUAAAGCUCGUAAAUAUGGUAUGCUAAGUGGUGUCCUUGGGACCCCAGGAGGAGGACAGGCAGCCAGCCUGGGAGGAGUACCAGGAGGGGGAGCAGGGACUGGAGUAGGCCAGGGUGGAGUGCCUGGAUCUGGGCUUGGUGGUGGUGGAGGUGUCCCUGGUGGUUAUGGUCCUGGAGCUGGAUUUGGACCUGGCCGUGGAACCGGUGGUGGUUAUGGACCAGGAGUGGGUGCUGGGACUGGACUUGGCCAGGGAGCAGGGCCUGGAGCUGGGCUUGGUGCUGGUGGAGUGCCUGGUGGUGGAUACAGACCCGGAGGUGGUUUACCUGGUAGUGGUGCUGGUUACGGACCUGGUGCUGGUGUUGGAGGAUAUCCUGCUGGGGCUAAGUCUCUGAAAUACGGUCCAGGAGGAGGUGGAGGAGCUCCGGGUGGAGGCCUUGGUGGGCGAUUCGGUGCCCCGGGAGGAGGUCUGCCAGGAGGAGGCUACGGACCAGGGGCAGGAGGCGCCUUAGGAGCAGGAGAAGCAGGAGCAGGAGGAAGAGUGCCUGGGGGUGGAUACGGGACCGGAGCUGGGCCUGGUGCAGGGUAUGGAGCAGGAACAGGGCCUGGAGCUGGGUACGGUCAGGGAGCAGGAGGAGUCCCUGGAGGAGGCUAUGAAGCUAGGGCAAGAGCAGGAGGACUACCUGGGGCCGGAUAUGGACCUGGAAGAGGAUAUGGAGCCGGAUCAAAACCUGCUAAAUAUGGACAAGUUGCUGGUGGGGCCGGUGGGGCCCUUGGAGGAGGAGCUGGACAAGGAUUCGGAGGGGUACCAGGUGGCUAUGGACCAGGUGGCUUCGGAGCUGGACCAGGUGGCUUCGGAGCCGGACCAGGUGGCUAUGGAGCCGGACCAGGUGGCUUUGGAGCCGGACCAGGUGGCGUUGGAGCCGGGGGCGGAGCAGGAUUAGGAGGGGUGCCAGGUGGGCUUCCAGGAGGGUACAGCGGUUCUCCCUGGGGGAAAAGGGGCUAUGGUACUGGAUCUGGAUUUAAGGCAGACAAAUAUGGACCAGGUGGGGCAGGAGGGGCCCUUGGUGCUGGGGCAGCUGGAGGUGCAGGGGCUGGGACAGGGACUGGGACCGGGACCAGAGCUGGGACAGGUGCUGGAGGAGGUGCAGGACCUACACCUGGCCCUGGCACAAGAGCAGGAGGAGAUGGCACUGGGACAGGAGCAGGAGGAGACAGGAUAGGCGCAGGAGGAGCAGGCACAGGAGGUGAGCCUGGUGGUGCCGGUGGGGUUCUAGAAGGAUCUGGAAGUUCUGCUGGCCCAGGAGAUGGCACCGGCGUCACAGCUGGUGCUGUUGGAGGAGGGGUGGGAGACACAGGAAUCCCUAGCAUUGGAGGAAAACCAGAUCAAUCGGGGCUCGGGGGGACAGCAAUCCCAGGUGGAAUUGCAGUGCCAGAAACUGGGGCUGGAGUUGUUCAACCCAGUGCUGGGGCUGGAGUUGAUGGGGUAGGAGUUCCCUCUGGAGGUGCUGCUAACGGUGAUAUCACUGGAGGGGGGACUCUACCUGGAGCUAAACCUCUGAAGGCUCCAAGAGGAGAUACACCUGGUGAAGGAGAGGGAGAUGCAGGAGGAGGAGCAAGAGGUGUUGGUGGAGGUCCUGAUGGUGCAGGAGGAGCAGGCAGUGGAUCUGGCGGAGUAGGAAGAGAUGGUGAUGGUAGAGGAGGAGGACCAGGAGGAGCAGACAGUGGAUCUGGCGGUGUAGGAAGAGAUGGUGAUGGUAAAGGAGGAGGAGGACCGGGAGGAGCAGGGGGGAAAGACGGUGGUGCAGUUAGAGUGGGAGGAAGUCCUAACGGUACAGGGGGAGCUGGAGGUUCAGGAGUUGGAGGAGCAGGAGUAGAACCUGGAGGAGGUGCAGGACCAGGCAGUAGUGACAAACCACCCAAAGGUUAUGGAGCAGGUGGGGCUGGCAGUCUGGGUGCAGGAGGUGCUGGAGGAGCAGCUCUGGUCCCUGGGACUGGUGGUGCCGGUGAUAUAGGAGCUGGAACCCCCAAACCAGGAAAAAGCUACGGAGUUGGUGGAGUCCUGCCAGGUGGAGGUCUACGUUACCCAACUGGGGCUAGAGAAGGACUGGGCUCAGGGAAGCCGGGCAAAGGAUAUGGUGCUGGCCAAUUUGGAGCAGGAGGACGACGUCCUGGAGGAUAUGGUGCCGGACCAGGCGGAUACGGAGCCAGUCCUGGAGGAUAUGGCACUGGACCCGGUGGUUAUGGGGCCAGACCCGGUGGUUAUGGUGCUGGUCCAGGUGGUUAUGGGGCUGGAGCUGGUCCUGGUGGCUAUGGUGCUGGGCCAGGUGGAUAUGGUGCUGGACAAGGUGGCUAUGGUGCUGGGCCAAGUGGCUACGGGACAGGGGCUGGGCCUGGAGGAUAUGGAUCCAAGCCAUACAAGACUGGAGGUGCUGGAGCCGGUGGUGUUGGUGGAGGUCUGGGUGGAGCUGGCAGCCUGGGUGCCAUAGGAGCCGGACCAGGAGGAGUGGGUGGAGGUCAAGGAGGCGGUCUAGGUGGAGGUCAAGGUGGAGCUGGACCAGGUGGAUAUAUACCAGGUGGAGUUGGUAGCAGAUACCCCACAGGUGCUGGAACUGGUACAGGAACUGGCACUGGAAAACCACCUAAUAGCUAUGGGAGAGCUGUUGGAGCUGGAGAUGGGCUUGGUGGUUAUGGUGGCGGAACAGUUGGUUAUGGACCAGGAGGAACUGGGGUCGGACUAGGUGGGGCUGGGGCCGGGCAAGGUGGAUAUGGUGCCGGACAUAAAGGUUAUGGACCAGGUGGAGCAGGGCCGGGAGGAGCUGGGGUCAGACCAGGUGGAGCAGAGGCAGGACCUGGUGGCUAUGGUGCUGGGCCUGGAGGUUAUGGGCCUGGGGCUGGUCUUGGUCCUGGCGGAGCUGGUCCUGGAGGUUAUGGGGCUGGACCUGGUGGCUAUGGACCUGGUGGCUAUGGACCAGGUGGCGCUGGAUCUCAUAAAUAUGGUAUGCUAAGUGGUUCCCUUGGAGGGGGACAAGCAGCUGGCCAGGGAAGAGUGCCAGGAGGGGGAGCAAGGACUGGGCUAGGUCAGGGAGGAGUGCCUGGAGGAGGAGCAGGUACUGGGCUAGGCCAUGGAGGAGUGCCUGGAUCUGGGCUUGGUGGCGGUAGUGGUCCGGGUGCUGGGUAUGGACCUGCCAUUGGAACCCAUGGAGGUUAUGGACCAGGAGGUGGUGCUGGGACCGGACUUGGUCAGGGAAGAGCCGGGGUCGGACCAGGUGGCUAUGGACCACUUGGAGCUGGGGCUGGACAGGGAACUGGAGCUGGAGGAUAUGACGCAAAUGCUAAAGCUCGUAAAUAUGGUAUGCUAAGUGGUACCAUUGGAGGAGGACAAGCAGCUGGCCAGGGAAGUGUGCCAGGAGGGGGAGCAGGGACUGGAGUAGGCCAGGGUGGAGUGCCUGGAUCUGGGCUUGGUGGUGGUGGAGGUGUCCCCGGUGGUUAUGGUCCUGGAGCAGGAUUUGGACCUGGUGGUGGAACUGUUGGUGGUUAUGGACCAGGAGGGGGUGCUGGGACCGGACUUGGCCAGGGAGGAGUUGGGGCCAUACCAGAUGGCUAUGGGACUGGGCCUGGUGGUUAUGGACCAGGUGGAGCCGGACAGGGUGCAGUGAAGCCAAACAAAUCAGGUUAUGGCUCCUCCUCCUCGGGUGGAGCUCUCUUUGGACCAGGUGGUGGAGCAGGUGGGGUACCUGGUGCUGGAGCUACCGGGCGAAGAGGAGGAGUACCAGGAGGCUACGGAGUAGGAGAAGCGGGACAGUCAGGGCAGAAAUCAAAGGCACAGAAGGCAGCCAAAUACACAGCCAUGCAAGGCUUCCUGGGAGCACGCAGCUACAGAGGGGUCGCCGACUGCCAGGGUAUAUACUGCGGACGGAGGAGGAAGUGAGAGAGCAGCAAAAAGAAGUGACCUCAUCAACAACAUUGUGGUGCUACUGCAUGAUUCAAUAAUGUACUGAUUUUCAACUACUAAUAUGUCCCUUUUUUCUUUUAAAGUGUGAAUCUCGGGCAAUGGCAAAACCAGAGCCUGUUUGAUCUUUUAUUCUGAAACUGUGAUCAUGUGUUUAUUGUUCCUCACCUGUACUUUAGCCCCUCCUGUGUGUACCCCAUUUACCCAUUUAGCUCCACCACGAAUCAUGUUUGUUUAAAACACUGAUACUAAGGCGUCCCACAACGGAGUGCCUCUAGACCUGUCUGUAUGCUGACUAAACUGUCUGUUUUCUGAUUAAUGUGACUAACAUCCCUCUAUAAAGCUAUGCUAUUGACACACAGGCCCAGACUUACUCAACAUUUGCACCUGCACUUUUCAAUAUACCUAGUUUUUGUUCAAGUUGUUUAGUUGCAAACUUUUACAAUAUCUGGCCCAAGGCGUCUUGAGAUAUAUACACACACUGCUGCCAUAAAUGAAAAUCAUAGGAGAUAUCUUUAGAGUGGUAAUCUUACAACCACCAUUUUUGAUUUAGAACUGUGUCCACUCUGAACCCUCAAAAGGCAGUGUGUGUCCACAGCAACACUCAUGUUCUAACUCUGAUUCUAGUUUCAGCAGUUCUCAAAAAAAAGGAGCUUAUUGCCCUUAGUAAAGGUUUUAAGAUCUUAUAUGCAGUCGUGUAUAAUGUCUUUACAGAAUAUAUAUAGUAAGGUUUAACUAAGCCACUUGCCUGAAAUAUUAUCAACAUCUUUCUGAAUGGCUGUAUAACACUGAAUUGCUGUGAGUGUUUUGAAUACUUAAUCACACCGAUAUGACUGUGUUAGUACAGCCAUAGUUGAGAUGACUGAAAAUGCAAACGUAUAUUUUCUUUGUUUAAAAUCCUCAUCUUGGCUUUACUGAGAGCAACAGUACCUACAUGACAUUUGCAGUUGAUUAAAACUAAUAUUAUAAUCAUGCAAUCCAGAGAUUGGCCUGUUUUCAGACCUAUCACCGUAAAACAUAAUUCUGUUAACUCAAAUUAUUUGAAAAACUGAUUGCCUUGACUCAUUAAAUUAAAGCAACACAUUUUUUUGUAAGUUACCAGUACUCAGUUCAUUUUGUUUUAGUGACUUAGAAGAUUAUGUUACACAGUGAACUGUAGAGAGCAUAUAACUGCAGACUGUUGACAAAAGCCCAACGUUUUUACGCGCGUUAAUUCACCCAGGAAAUAGAAUGCAUGGGAGAGAAUGAGAGACAACAGAUGGGCCUCAACGGUGUCAUUACACAUCAGUUUAGAAAGCAAGUCUAUUUCUCUCCACAUCUACAAGAAGCAAUGCUGGUAAAAUGAGCAAAUAAAUUGCCAGAAAAUAGACUGUUUGCAUCGUUAUGUCUGGAAAUGUGAAAUGUAUAGUUAAACUGAUCAACACUGAAUAGACACUUUUUAACUGCCAAUACAUAUAUGAAAACAAAUGCAUAGAAUUUCGAUCACAGGCAUAUAGCCUAGGCCAGGGGUCUCCAAAGUUUUUUCUAGCCUGAGUUACUUUAAGAAAAAUGUAACAUGUCGCUUCUCUUCUCCCAUUCAACUCUUCCUCAGGUCCUUAGUGUAUAAGAGAAAGUAGUGCACUGUUUUCUGUCAAUAUACCUGGUAAAAUAAGGAUUAAUAAACAACUCUAAGGGGAGACCUAUAAAGUCAGAUUUGUUUUCUCCAAAAUUAUGUUUUCAAUUUCCCAAAAUACGUUUUCUCUGUUUUAUAUUUUCUGGUUUAAGAUGUUGAUUUUACUCUUAAAAUUACAAUUGUUCAUAGAGAAGUUUGUUCUGAGGACAUGUCAAUGGUUAAAUCACAUCAGGAUACCCUUUUUUUUGGGGGGGACAAAUAGAUUUCCCCUUUAUUGUGCAUCUAGCGAGUAAGGAAUGUGCCGUCUAAUGUGCCAGUCUGGCGAUGGUUCUGUACUGCUGCUGCUGCUCAUUUAAUGGCAAAGUUAGUAAAUAACAAAUAGAUACAAAUGAUAUAUUUACUUAUAUCAUUUAUAUAUAAACUUCUGCCUGGUAAGCCUACUGCCACAAGACGGUUAUCGCAUCACCUGGCUACACACGGAGUGAUUGACAAACGCGCCACACCAUAUACAGUAGACAGACGCGCAAUACUACCGGAAAUGAAUUGGCAGAUAUUGUGAAGGUUUAAUUCUCUAUGCCAAUAGUGGCUAACAAGGGGUGGGAUAAUGUCAAUGUUGAGUUGUUUAGAUAGGUGGUAGCUUGCAGUGUCGGAUAAUUGGGAGAUUUGUUUAUGACAGUUUGCGAUGGAACAGAGGAAAAAUUGCAUAUGCUUUCAGAAUUGUUUGGUGAGCUACUCAUAGGUGAGCUGCGAGCUACUGGUAGCUCAUGAUCGACCUGCUGGAGACCCCAGGCCUUGGCAGACUACGGCUGGGAAACUCGAGGAACUACGAUUUCAAGAGAGAAUACUAUUAUGUAGGAAGAACGAACUAGCUAAAUUCCUUAUAGACUGCUCGGGUUUAUUAGCUACAACUCUCCUCAUGUUCAUGAAUAACAAUUUUUUAGCCUGUGCAGGCAGGUACGGUGGCUCCCAUAGGACAUCUAAGAUGAGUCAAAAGGAACACACAAAAAUAGUUCCCAGGUGCUAUAUAGCGAACAUAACAAUUACAACUGUUUAUUAUGGAUUAUCAUGACGAUUACGUUGGCAUACGCUACGCAGUAUAUGUGAAUUGACGCUGGCCUCUCGCAAGCAAAUUUCACACCGUUGACAGGCAUCUCCGGGUGUAAUUUCGGUUUAACACCGAUGCAGUUCAAGUCUUUUCACUCUGAACUUAAACUAUUUGUUUACUUUAGCUUUUUAAAUUAUGAAGGAAAAAAAUGCUAAAACAUUUUCAACAAUGUCUACUCUUCUGAUUUAAAAAAAAAUAAGUGCUUUAUUUUUUUACAUUGUCUUUGAAUGCUCUCUAAUGCUAGUGUUACCUGAGGUGUCAUGUUACAUGUUUAAUGAAACGUUGUAAUCUUGAGUUAUCUAUGGGCUAUAGUGUUUAUAUCAUUAAGCCCAGACAGACAAAGAACAUCUGUGUUUUACCUUAGAAGAGAAUGAUUCACUUUUUUUUACACAGUACACAGUUUUUAAAUAAAGAAAUUACCUGAA
ensembl:lncRNA